CAUGGGGAUAUUUGCUAAAGAUUCAUCGCUGAUAGAUAGGCAUGCGUUCCAUUAGGCAGUUGGCGGGGUAACGGCCCACCAAACCGACGAUGGAUAGGGGUUCUGAGAGGAAGGUCCCCCACAUUGGUACUGAGACACGGACCAAACUCCUACGGGAGGCAGCAGUGAGGAAUAUUGGUCAAUGGGCGUAAGCCUGAACCAGCCAAGUCGCGUGAGGGAUGAAGGUUCUAUGGAUCGUAAACCUCUUUUAUAAGGGAAUAAAGUGUGGGACGUGUCCCGUUUUGUAUGUACCUUAUGAAUAAGGAUCGGCUAACUCCGUGCCAGCAGCCGCGGUAAUACGGAGGAUCCGAGCGUUAUCCGGAUUUAUUGGGUUUAAAGGGUGCGUAGGCGGCCUUUUAAGUCAGCGGUGAAAGUCUGUGGCUCAACCAUAGAAUUGCCGUUGAAACUGGGGGGCUUGAGUAUGUUUGAGGCAGGCGGAAUGCGUGGUGUAGCGGUGAAAUGCAUAGAUAUCACGCAGAACCCCGAUUGCGAAGGCAGCCUGCCAAGCCAUUACUGACGCUGAUGCACGAAAGCGUGGGGAUCAAACAGGAUUAGAUACCCUGGUAGUCCACGCAGUAAACGAAGAUCACUAGCUGUUUGCGAUACACUGUAAGCGGCACAG
rnacentral:rRNA from 1 species